UGGGGAAUAUUGGACAAUGGGCGCAAGCCUGAUCCAGCCAUGCCGCGUGAGUGAUGAAGGCCCUAGGGUUGUAAAGCUCUUUCACCGGUGAAGAUAAUGACGGUAACCGGAGAAGAAGCCCCGGCUAACUUCGUGCCAGCAGCCGCGGUAAUACGAAGGGGGCUAGCGUUGUUCGGAUUUACUGGGCGUAAAGCGCACGUAGGCGGACUUUUAAGUCAGGGGUGAAAUCCCGGGGCUCAACCCCGGAACUGCCUUUGAUACUGGAAGUCUUGAGUAUGGUAGAGGUUAGUGGAAUUCCGAGUGUAGAGGUGAAAUUCGUAGAUAUUCGGAGGAACACCAGUGGCGAAGGCGGCUCACUGGACCAUUACUGACGCUGAGGUGCGAAAGCGUGGGGAGCAAACAGG
rnacentral:rRNA from 1 species